rnacentral:rRNA from 1 species
AUUGAACGCUGGCGGCAUGCUUUACACAUGCAAGUCGAACGGCAGCGGGGAGGAGCUUGCUUCUCUGCCGGCGAGUGGCGCACGGGUGAGUAAUACAUCGGAACGUGUCGAGAAGAGGGGGAUAACCACCCGAAAGGGUGGCUAAUACCGCAUAAAUUCUGAGGAAGAAAGCUGGGGACCUAGGAAUAGGCCUAGCGCUUUUUGAGCGGCCGAUGUCGGAUUAGCUAGUUGGUGAGGUAAAGGCUCACCAAGGCGAAGAUCUGUAGCGGGUCUGAGAGGAUGAUCCGCCACACUGGGACUGAGACACGGCCCAGACUCCUACGGGAGGCAGCAGUGGGAAAUUUUGGACAAGGGGGGCAACCCUGAUCCAGCCAUGCCGCGUGUAUGAAGAAGGCCUUAGGGUUGUAAAGUACUUUUGUUAGGGAAGAAAAGUCAGCUGUGAAUAAUGGCUGAUACUGACGGUACCUAAGAAUAAGCACCGGCGAACUACGU